GUAGAGGAACGAUGUUUAUUAAUUCAACAGUAUGGAGAAUACAAAACAGUCUAGGAAUACAACUUCUAUGUUACUCUGUACAAAUUAACCAGAGGAGCCUCAUAUUUAUAGGCUAACCCUAGAGAAGUCCUAAAAGGCAAGAAAAUAUAUUACACUUAGGAGACCUAAUUUCAACAGGAUUUUGUUUCUUUAUUCAACUUAGUUUCCUUAAACACUAAGUGAAUAUUCUCAUAGUCCAAGUCGAAUAUGCUUCUUCAAAAGACUCAUAUUUGAGUCAUACUCCUAACACUUCGUCCUUCAUUUUAAAGUAGGCAACAAUUUUUUUUUCCCCUGAUGAAAACAGCCAUUAGGGACAUAAAUAGAAUAUUGAAUAAAGGUUAGAUAGGUUAAGUACAAUUAAAAUUUGGUGCAUUUAUUUAAAAAUUUGGUGUUAACAUAACACCCAAGAUUUAAAGUUCUAAACAAAAAAUCUUUUAAAGGAAUUAUGUUCUGGUCUCUCUGUAAAACUCUUGUGGCAUGCCAUCGGAUCAUUAAACUUUAUGCUCAUAUUGCAAAAAAAUACUCUAAUUUCUAAAUAUAGCUCAAUAUAUG
rnacentral:lncRNA from 1 species